CCCCGCCUCCGCCACCUCCCCGCCACCACCCACCUCCGGAAAGCAGAUUCACUGACAAAGCACCUCGCCCCGCAGGACUCCCCGCCCCGUGUGCACCCACCCGGAAUCCGAGCGUUCAUCGAUAGCGUUUGCUGGAAGCUUCGCGGAUCUACUAAGAGAAGAGGAAAAGCCUCAGGAUGGACAUUCGAAAGGUCAGGUCGUCCAGGGCUGGGCUGCAGAGAUCUUCCGCAGAAGACUUACCACCCUUGACACAUGGCCUCGGUGGAUUUUAUCCAAAUAGGGGUUGCUUCAGAGUUUAUUCAUGCAAAAGAUUCAGGACACCGGCAGGUUCCUGGUAAGACCACCUCAGCUUGCAGUCCUCGCUGGGAAGGAGGGGACAGCGAACGGCUUAUGAAGCUGAUCGGGGCCUUCUUAGGAUGGCUGAGCUUGGUAGGAAUGGAGGAGGGACCAGGACCCAUGGCCCAACCCCAUCGCCUGCUCUCCCUGUGCCAGCGUGGGCCAGCGGCGCUGCACAGCCACCUCCUGGACGUCCCUUCACCUCCCCUGGGUUGAACUGUGGAUCAGAAACAUAGGACCUAGUAGGUGCCCUGUGCAAGGUAACUAUGCUGUGUUCUCACCACAGUACCUUAAUAAACUACCAAAUAGAUGUCAGUAAUCCCUGUUCCAUGAUGACACAAGGCCAUGAUCCCCACACGACCCAUUUAUUUCCCUCUCUGAUUUUUAACACAUCUUCCUCUUCCCCUUUAAACAAGCAGGUAUGAAUUCUUAAGUCAUGCCUGCUUGAAUUCAGGAGGAGAGGCCUAAGAUUAGAAUUAGAAGGAAGGUUUUAAAUCAAGUGACCUAUGACUGAGUUCAAAACAACUCACUCCAGCAAGCCAGCUGGCAAAACGACUUCCAAUUCAUGAAAGCGGGGGGAAAAAAAGCCUUCCCAUUUGAGUCACUCGACCAUUUCACGCACAAAGACUUUGUGUACGUACCAGAAAGACAAGCCUUUCCACAUUUGCAUGUAUCCUUUUUAUAGUUGUUGUGAUUUUGCCAGGUGCUUUAUGACCAUUUUUUAUUAGCUGGGUCUCUCCAUAGUCCUGUGAGGUAUAGAUUAGAAGGUAAAGCAGGUCCUGUACAGGAUGAGGCAGGAAGCAAACUCUCCAGGGACAUCUUACUCCAGGAAAGCCUGUGUGAAAGAACGCACUUUCCCCUGCUUGCCGGAGGCACCAGGAAAUAGAAGUCAGCCUGGAAAAUACUGCUGAGCCAUUUUUAAAAGCAAAUUUCUUUAUAAAGCGCAUAUAUUUCUUCUCUCUCUCUCUCUCAUUUGCUUAACUUCAGCCGGUCUAUAUUUCAGUUCAAACAUAGGAUCAUAUAGCAAAUCCCUCC
rnacentral:lncRNA from 1 species